GAAAUGCGAUAAGUAAUGUGAAUUGCAGAAUUCAGUGAAUCAUCGAAUCUUUGAACGCACAUUGCGCCCGCCAGCACUCUGGCGGGCAUGCCUGUUCGAGCGUCAUUUCAACCCUCAGAACCCCUUGCGGGAUCUGGCGUUGGGGAUUGGCAUCCAGCCAGCCCCGAAAUCUAGUGGCGGUCCCUCCGCGACCUCCCCUGUGCAGUAGCGAUACCUCGCAGCGGGACAGCGGUCUGACCACGCCGUAAAACCCCCAACUUCUCAAGGCUGACCUCGAAUCAGGUAGGAAUACCCGCUGAACUUAAGC
rnacentral:misc_RNA from 1 species